CUACACUUCUACAGCACCCAAUAUCAAGUGUUGCAAAGAAAUGUUUCGUAAAUUUCUGUUUUCUGUCUUAUUGGUGAUGGUAAUCGUUUUAUCGAUGGUCAACGCACUUCCUGCACCUCAGAUCUUCGUAGUUGAUGGUUUUGACGAAAAGGACACAGAAAUGAGCGCAUGACGAUUGGAA